GUCUUUGUGUACUCUCAGGUCUAAUCGACAAGCAGGGAGAUUUAAUCAAGCAGACAACAAGAUGUACCUGAUGGUCAGGUGUUGAAAAUCUGCAGAACCACAGAAUGCUGAAUUGUAAGGGACCCAUCAGGACCAUUGAGUCCCACUCCUGGUCCCGCACAGCACCAUUUCCAAAAGUCACACCAUAUGCCUGAGGGUAUCAUCCAAAAGCUUCUUGAGCUUUGUUGCUAUUUCAGUGACUUCCUGAGUGUUACACUGCUUUUCCUCUGGAAAAUCACUGGAAAAUCUAGCAUGGAAAUGUAUUUUCCAGAUGGUAUAUGGAAAGGCAAAAUGUGAUGGUACAGUAUCAGAUUUAAUGAAGAACCAAGUUCUGAUAUCCUGUAACACAAUGUACAUGUGAAAAUUAUGCCUGUCAGACCAAACGCCCACAUUGAGGUGCACAGCUGCAAGCCAAAUUUUCUCCCCAAAAUUCCACAUAACCAGCCAUAUUGCAAUGACAUGCAAACUUCUCUGUUGUGAUGCCCGAAAGAUAGGCUGGAAAUAAAAGCACACAGACUGAUGUCUAUAGAGCAGGUAUUUGUUUAUGCAGUGCUGGAGGGGAGGGAGAUUUCUCCUCCUAACUCACCCACCUGUGUCAAGUGCUGUGCUAUAUUUAUACAGCUGCAGCGACGGCUGGCUUCAAAGGAGAAAGCCAUUGCCCCUUCGGGAUGUCCCUACCAGCUGCAGCCAGCACCACCAGCAGCACUGCUGCACUCUCCUGAACUUUGCUCCAGUCAGCAGGACACCUAAGGCUUUUGCCUUGUGGGAUGAGAAGCAGUGUGGAAAACACAAAAUACAAACCACAGCAGAUGUCUGAACUCGACGAGCUUGCUGAAAGGACAAUUUGUAGGUGUGGUUUCUGUCCAGGAACACUGGACACCAAAGCUGAAAUUCUAACAUAAAAUAGGCACAGCUGCACAGAGGCUUAGAAACAGAGCUAUAAAAUGUAACUCUUCAUCAGCAAUUAAAAAUCUCUGUCAUUCCUAGCUUCCUAGACACCAACAUGGCAUUCCUAGCUUGCCAUAAAGAACAAAGUCAUGGGAAGGGACACCGAUGUUGCUGACUCUUAGCCUGUAGGUACCUGGAUAAACUGGCUGAUGGGGUGGAUUCUCCCAAAGCUGUCAGGACAGAUAAUCAGUGGAAAUGAAGUUACUUCAGAAUGGAGACAUGCAGUGAAGAAGUACAGACCAUGGAGUAUCUAAUUCUCUGUGCAUUUUUGGCAGGUUUGUGUUUUACUGAAGAUUAUUCACAGCCACAUGUUGGGCCCUGUCGUCUGCUGAAUUGGGAUAUGAUGUCUGUAAAGCUGGUGUGAAAAUGAAUCUCUGACUGCAGGAGAGAAACCGCCAAUGCCUUUGUAUCUCACAGAAGAUUACCUGUUUAUUUUGUGAAAUAUCUACCCUCUCUAUACAAAAUAAAAUGUGCAGCACAGAAAAGGGCAUGAAGACUCAAUCUGCUUCUGUAAGAUUGGAAGGCAGCCGCCCCAUUGGCAGAGUGGGCACUGUGCAAGCACCUGAGUAACUCAGAACAGCUCCCUGCAGGCUCAGCUAAGCAGCACCUCUGCUGUGAAGGUAUUUUGCUUUCUGCCAGGAGCAGUGAAUGAACCACUCCAGCUGAGCUGUGAAUUACAGCUCCAGAAUGAGCAAGGAUCCUGCACAACAACAGCACCUGAUCUAAUCUUUCCUUUGCCUCUGUGCUGAAGGAAAGUCAAGGGCAAUCCCAUGGAAAAGCAAUGCUCCCUCUGCUGCUACCCAGCAGUCAGAUCAGAUGAAGUGGGAGUGGAGAGCAGCCUGAGGAGAGUUCUGCAAGGUAAUAGUUAAACACAGAGACUUAAGGCAAUGCCUUUGGAGAGCUGUCUAUGAUUUUGGUACUGUGACAGGGAGUUGAGGUGCCCCAAGAGAACCAGGGCUUGUGAUCACAAGAGUCUAUCUGUCUACAGAGGGACUCAUCCACUCGGUCGCCCUGGUGCGGUGGCCUCUAGCAAACCCCCACAAUGAAGUCACCUGUCCCUGUCCUCCCUUAAUCCUGAUUCAUCAUCUGUUGGACAGCUCCUCAUCCAUCCCUGGGCACAGCUCCAUUCACUCCAGAUGGUCACUGACAUAGAGGGUGACCCCUCCUCAUCUCCCCCCCAGCCCAUGCAAAGGAUUCUGUAUCCUUCCAUUCCACCACUACAGUCCCAGGAGCCACCCCAGCACAUUGUCAUGAUGCCAAGGAGCUGGCAGCCCUGCAGGUGUGCCCAUGCCCAUACACAGGCAGGUAAGUUCGACUCUGAUGAAGGCAAAGUAGUGGCUGGAGUGGCUGGAAUUCCUUUGUGCUGCCAUUCAGGUGCCCUCCUGCUGAUCUGUGAUCCCUCCCCGUGUUCUGGGCAUCUCUUGCUAGCCCUGGCUUUAAACUGAAAGGCUUGAAAUUCCUCUCCCAUAGCAGCUUCAAAUUAAGGCCCUCACCAACUUGGUGAGCCUGUCAUUAAAAUGCCCUCUCUGUGUCAGAAGGACCCCAGCAGUCCCAACAGGUUUCUCCAAGUACAUCCUAUGUAUGUUCAUGACAUUUAUAUAUCCAGCUAUAGCUUUAGCUGUAAGUAAAAAGAAGGAAGUAGCAGAGUCUGAUAAUGGUUUAAAUAAUUGUUGAAAUCAGAAACUAAAACAUGGUUCAAUCAAUUACCAUUUCAUUACAGCUUAAUUAUUAAUUAUUGUUAAAUCGUUGUUGAAUCACCGUUAAAUUAUAAUUGAUUUAUUCCUUAAUCACAAUUUGCAAUUUUUAUCAUUAAAUAUCAUUUGAUUAUUACCUAAUCAUUAAUAACACCUUUUUGUUAUUCCCACAAUGAUGACUUCUCCUAAAGAUUCACCUGUGCCAGUAGAGUUGUGGGUGUAAGAAUGGAGGGAGAGAAAAGGAAACAGAUGUGGUGACAGCUGCUAACGCUGCAGAUGUUGUAGCUUUACUGUUGUUUAUGACUGUGAAGAAUAAAGCACAGGAAUAAGGAAAUAGAAUAUUUGCUUUCCCAAAUCUCUCUGAUGACAAAGCUGUAAAUUUCCAGUUGGGACAGGUCUAUGUAACAAUCAAAAUGCAAAACUGUACAAGACAACAACCAGAGUAUUGUGAUUCAAACCUCUGUUUGAAAGAAAAAUAUUUUGUCAUAUUGAUAAGAAGCACUCCUCUUUGAAGAGACUCGCUACUGUUGUUAAACUACUGAUUUCUCUGUAUUCACCACUUGUGCCUGAGGAAUAUACACCCUCUUCCUCCCCUCCCCCCACAAUGCGUGAACCAGGGUGUUUAUCCUGCACAGGAAGGCGUGGUGAAUGGAAUGCCCUGGUUCUGGGGGAUCCUGGUGAUCUGCUUGAGCCCCAAGGGGAGAAAAUGAGGUAAAUGCAGGAGCUGAAAAAUAAUCUCUGGCACAAUUAGUAAUGCCCUUGUUGGACAGGCAAGAAAUCAGCAGAUUUCACACGUGCAGGAGGGUGUUCCUCCUUGUUCCUCCUGCCUUUUGUGCUUGCAAAUGCUUGCUGAACCUGAGGUGCCCUAAUGGCUGUACAUAAAUUAUUUUCUCAGCGACUGCAAGAGAGAAGCCAGCCCAGGAGCCUGCCUGUACAUCAGCAUAGUUUCCCGUUUUGCUGCAUCACAGCACAACUGCAAUUUCCUCAACAGCCUUUCAUUCUAAAUGUCAGCGACUUCGGCCAUUGGGUUUCUUAGGUGCUCCUCGUUCCCUUCGGGAGAGCUGCCAGGUAGCACAAGGUGACCCGUAAAGCACCGGGAUUAAUAGCAGUUACCUCGGUGGGGAUGGUCAGAGAGGAGAGGGCGUUAGGUAAGAAAAGCUGAUCCCACCUCCGCUCUCUGCCCUCCUUGCAGACACACACCGAGGGCAUUUCAGUGUGCCCAGUGCUCAGCUCCUUGCCCGCAUUUCCAAGCAGAGAGAUUCUGGCCACGCUUCUGCCUCGGGCGAGGGCUCCUCCGCGGGGCACCAAGCUCAGGGCAGAAGCGGGCUGACUUUUCCCCGUUCCCUUAAGAGUUCCACUCACCUCCCCUAAGGGAGGGGCCGUUUCCUGAGGCGCGGCCGGACUCCGGCCACUUGUGCUCGCUCGUCACCGUGCACAGGCAUAUCCCCGGAGCAAGCACAGAAACAUCUCCUCCAUCCCUGCAGGGUUUCUACCUCCCUGCUGGCUCGGGUGCCGCAGCCACAGCAGCCAAGCCCAGCCCUGAGGAGCAGUUGUGGCUGCUCAUCAGCCAUAACUUCGUGGUCCCGCUUUCCCCGGUCUCCCAGCCUCGCUGCACCGCCCGCCCCCUUAUCCCCCACAGGGGAAGGGGAAGCAUCCCCCCAGGGACAGCCCGAUCCCAGCGGGCCAUUUACCCGAUCCGAGCGGGAGAUUUACCCGAUCCGCUGGGCAGCCCCGCACGGCCGCUCCCGCCUCCCUCCCUCCCGCAGCUCCGCUCCCGCCGGGAUCCUGCUCUCGGCGUGUGGCUCACUUCUCUUCCGCGAAUUUCUCUCCUCCCUCUCGGCCGCUGAGGGUGGGAUUAAAGGCAUCAAAGACCAAACAUGUGACUCUGCCAGCACCGGGAUGCUCAAGGAAGGAAGGGAAAGGCAGCUGGCCGGAGGGGGUCACCGCACACCGGGGAGGGGACCGGUCCCUGGAAGCAGGUUCAGGAGUCAAUCCCGAGCCCCAGGGGCGGAGGCAGCUGCGCAGCGGGAGCUCCUCAUUCCCGCGCUGCGGUCCCCGAACGCUCCAUCAGGAGCGGAGGGACAGCCGCAGGGGAAGCGCAGCUCGCCCAGCGCUCCCCAGCUGGGUGUCACAUCUGCCCGGUGGCACCACGGCCGCGUGUCACCUUUAGUGGGUGUCACUUCUGCCGGGUGUCCCCUCUGCCCGAUGCCACUUCUGCCAGGUGUCCGCGCCAGCUCCCGUGCCUCUGGGGCACUGCCCUCCGCCGCUGGCACCUGCUGGAUGCUCCGGACCUCUCGCCUCACUCCUGGGCACCAGGACGUUCUUUAUGUACGUGUCACCCCUGGCAGGUAAAAGCUUUCUCAGUCUGCAGCGAAGACUUCACAGGACUAUUGGCUGAAGUGGGGAGGCUCAUCAGCUACGCAAAGAUUUACACCAGGCUGUUCAAGAUUCAAACAUUUUAACAAACUGCUCCAAGACUGCCUCUGACCGGUUCACUCUCCCUCCCUGCCACCCCCCCCGGGCCUUUUCUCUGUGUUCCUGUACACACACACCCUUCAGCUCCGUGGCCAUAAGGUCUAAUUAACUGAUUACCUGAAAGAUGCUUCAGGGAAAGUUUACUGUCUGUCAUUGUAGGAACUCUUUGGGUUUAUGCCUGCAGCUCCAGAAAAUGCAAGUGCAUGUAUUUGGGCUAAACUAUUUUUAGGCUCAGACCUCUCUUAUAUCUUAGAAGAA